rnacentral:rRNA from 1 species
AGUGAACGCUGGCGGUAGGCCUAACGCAUGCAAGUCGAACGGCAGCACAGUAAGAGCUUGCUCUUACGGGUGGCGAGUGGCGGACGGGUGAGGAAUACAUCGGAAUCUACUUUUUCGUGGGGGAUAACGUAGGGAAACUUACGCUAAUACCGCAUACGACCUACGGGUGAAAGCAGGGGAUCUUCGGACCUUGCGCGAUUGAAUGAGCCGAUGUCGGAUUAGCUAGUUGGCGGGGUAAAGGCCCACCAAGGCGACGAUCCGUAGCUGGUCUGAGAGGAUGAUCGGCCACACUGGAACUGAGACACGGUCCAGACUCCUACGGGAGGCAGCAGUGGGGAAUAUUGGACAAUGGGCGCAAGCCUGAUCCAGCUAUACCGCGUGGGUGAAGAAGGCCUUCGGGUUGUAAAGCCCUUUUGUUGGGAAAGAAAAGCAGCAGGUUAAUACCCCGCUGUUCUGACGGUACCCAAAGAAUAAGCACCGGCUAACUUCGUG